rnacentral:rRNA from 1 species
UGGGCGUAAGGGCUCGCAGGCGGUUUCUUAAGUCUGAUGUGAAAGCCCCCGGCUCAACCGGGGAGGGUCAUUGGAAACUGGGGAACUUGAGUGCAGAAGAGGAGAGUGGAAUUCCACGUGUAGCGGUGAAAUGCGUAGAGAUGUGGAGGAACACCAGUGGCGAAGGCGACUCUCUGGUCUGUAACUGACGCUGAGGAGCGAAAGCGUGGGGAGCGAACAGGAUUAGAUACCCUGGUAGUCCACGCCGUAAACGAUGAGUGCUAAGUGUUAGGGGGUUUCCGCCCCUUAGUGCUGCAGCUAACGCAUUAAGCACUCCGCCUGGGGAGUACGGUCGCAAGACUGAAACUCAAAGGAAUUGACGGGGGCCCGCACAAGCGGUGGAGCAUGUGGUUUAAUUCGAAGCAACGCGAAGAACCUUACCAGGUCUUGACGUCCUCUGACAAUCCUAGAGAUAGGACGUCCCCUUCGGGGGCAGAGUGACAGGUGGUGCAUGGUUGUCGUCAGCUCGUGUCGUGAGAUGUUGGGUUAAGUCCCGCAACGAGCGCAACCCUUGAUCUUAGUUGCCAGCAUUCAGUUGGGCACUCUAAAGUGACUGCCGGUGACAAACCGGA